AUCGGGGUAGAUUGAUGCGCGUUAAGUGCAGCGGAAACGGAAUGUGGGUCGCUGACGAAACACGCUUGUGUGCGGUGCAUCAAUCACAUUCACCAAU
rfam:Leuconostoc pseudomesenteroides PS12 contig_024, whole genome shotgun sequence.